UGGGGAAUAUUGCACAAUGGGCGCAAGCCUGAUGCAGCGACGCCGCGUGGGGGAUGACGGCCUUCGGGUUGUAAACUCCUUUCGCCAGGGACGAAGCGUUUUGUGACGGUACCUGGAGAAGAAGCACCGGCUAACUACGUGCCAGCAGCCGCGGUAAUACGUAGGGUGCGAGCGUUGUCCGGAAUUACUGGGCGUAAAGAGCUCGUAGGUGGUUUGUCACGUCGUCUGUGAAAUUCCACAGCUUAACUGUGGGCGUGCAGGCGAUACGGGCUGACUUGAGUACUGUAGGGGUAACUGGAAUUCCUGGUGUAGCGGUGAAAUGCGCAGAUAUCAGGAGGAACACCGAUGGCGAAGGCAGGUUACUGGGCAGUUACUGACGCUGAGGAGCGAAAGCAUGGGUAGCAAACAGGAUUAGAUACCCUGGUAGUCCAUGCCGUAAACGGUGGGCGCUAGGUGUAGGGACCUUUUGGGGUUUCUGUGCCGUAGCUAACGCAUUAAGCGCCUCGCCUGGGGAGUACGGCCGCAAGGCUA
rnacentral:rRNA from 1 species